AACGAACGCUGGCGGCAUGCCUAACACAUGCAAGUCGAACGAGACCUUCGGGUCUAGUGGCGCACGGGUGCGUAACGCGUGGGAACCUGCCCUUAGGUUCGGAAUAACUCCCCGAAAGGGGUGCUAAUACCGGAUAAUGUCUUCGGACCAAAGAUUUAUCGCCUUUGGAUGGGCCCGCGUUGGAUUCGCUAGUUGGUAGGGUAAAAGCCUACCAAGGCGACGAUCCAUAGCUGGUCUGAGAGGAUGAUCAGCCACACUGGCACUGAGACACGGCCCAGACUCCUACGGGAGGCAGCAGUGGGGAAUAGUGGACAAUGGGCGAAAGCCUGAUCCAGCAAUGCCGCGUGAGUGAUGAAGGCCUUAGGGUUGUAAAGCUCUUUUACCCGGGAUGAUAAUGACAGUACCGGGAGAAUAAGCUCCGGCUAACUCCGUG
rnacentral:rRNA from 1 species